GAGAGUUGCGAUGGCUAUAUCUCCUUCUGGUUUGAGCCUGUGUGUCGGUCCCAAAACGUCUCCUGGCUCGCCCGAAGCACUCACUUUAGCGCAAUGGAUUUGCCAGAGCUACAUGUAUCAUUUAGGAGCAGAUUUGUUAAGCUCGGGUUCGGUAGUUGGGGAAUCGUUAUUGAAAGAUCUUUGGCAACAUCAAGACGCCAUUUUGUGUUGUUCUCUAAAGCCGUAAAGCAAACACCAUUGAGAGUUGUCUGUCAGAGAGCCUGCUUUUUGCAUGCAGCGGUA